UACACAAGCUCCAGUAUCGCCUCUGGUGCUGGAGGGAGUGUCAUCCAUUCCACCUUGUACAAAUCUCCUGCCAUCUUCCAGCCAUGACUUAUGGGAGGAGGAAUGUCUGGCCUACACUCAAGGCUCCUCCUGUGUAUUGCUGCCUGAAAGUUUGCCCGCUUGAUGUGUUGGUACAAGGACUCUUUGUUUGGAGGUGACCAUCAAUGUGGCUGCAGAAUGCAAGUGCCAACAUAAAGACAUCAGUGUCCGGGCUCUUGAUCACCAGGACAGUGCUGUAUUUUGCUGCACAAACUGCAUGCAGCAUAAGUCUGGUGUCUGCUUCCUCUUGAGUUGUCUCAAGGUCUCAAACCUCUGUUACUUCAAGAUGUGCUCCAGUGUUGGAAGAAGUACUCCAGCAAGUUUUCUUUAUUUUGCCCACAUGCCAGGAAUUUUCUCCACUGCUUUGGUGUUUUUUGAUCAUCUCCAUAUAUUUAGAUUUUUUGACAACCCUCUUCUGCCCUCC